GGUGAAGUGAUAAGAGCUUGUGAAGGAUCUCUUGGUAUCCAAAAGCGAUGAAGGACGUGGUUACCGGCGAAACGGUUCGGGGAGUUGGUAGCACGCUAUGAUCCGAAUGUCUCCGAAUGAGGGAACUCAAUAACUUUUUUCUGAAUCAAUAGGAAAAAAGAGCAAACCCAGGGAACUGAAACAUCUUAGUACUUGGAGGAAAAGAAAGUAAAAACGAUUCCCUAAGUAGUGGCGAACGAAACGGGAACAGCCUAAAUUAAUUUUUAAUUAAAAAAUUAAGGUCAUGGGAAAAGCGCUACAAAUUUUUAUUUGCAGUUUUAGCUAUAAACGUUUAGGUCAAGGCUUUUAGUCUUAUCAAAUUGUUUAUGAAAAUUAGACGAAAUCGUUGGAAAGCGAUACCCGAGAAAGUGAUAGUCUUGUAGUCGAAAAUUUUCUUUUUAUGCUUUUUCCCAAGUAGCAUGGAGCACGUGAAAUUCCGUGUGAAUUUGCGAGGACCACCUCGUAAGGCUAAAUAUUCUUGGAUGUCCGAUAGUGAACUAGUACCGCGAGGGAAAGAUGAAAAGAUCCCCGGGAGGGGAGUGAAAAAGAACGUGAAAUUGCAAGCUUACAAUCAGAAGGAGAACGACUAAGCGUUUGACUUCGUGCCUGUUGAAGAAUGUUCCGGCGAGUUAGAAGGAGUGGCAGGUUAAGGGAUUUGACCUGGAGCCAUAGUGAAAGCGAGCUUGAAGAGAGCGUAAGUCACUUUUUCUAGACCCGAACCCGCUUGAUCUAACCAUGUGCAGGAUGAAACCUAGGUAAUACUAGAUGGAGGUCCGAACCGACUCAUGUUGAAAAAUGAGCGGAUGACGUGUGGUUAGGGGUGAAAUGCCAAUCGAAAGCGGAGCUAGCUGGUUCUCCCCGAAAUGUAUUUAGGUGCAGCGGUGAAUGUGUUGAUGUAGGGGUAAAGCACUGUUUUUAUGCGGGCUGGUAACUCGGUACCAAAUGAAGGCAAACUCUGAAUACUACAAGAAGAGUUCACUAGUAAGACUAUGAGGGAUAAGCUUCAUUGUCAAGAGGGAAACAGCCCAGAUCACCAGCUAAGGCCCCAAAAUGAUGGCUAAGUGAUAAAGGAAGUGGAAAGGCCGCAACAACCAGGAGGUUUGCUUAGAAGCAGCAAUCCUUUAAAAAGUGCGUAAUAGCUUACUGGUCUAGCAAUUCUGCGCCGAAAAUUCACGGGACUAAGUCAUCUGCCGAAGCUGUGAGAUAGAAAUUUUUUCUAUCGGUAGGGGAGCGUUUUAUUGUAGGAUGAAGUACCAGCGAAAGCGGGUAUGGACGAAAUAAAAGUGAGAAUGCCGGAUUGAGUAGCGAAAACAUCGGUGAGAAUCCGAUGCUCCGAAACCCUAAGGUUUCCUUUGGAAGGUUCGUCCACGAAGGGUUAGGCAGGACCUAAGGCAAGGCUGAAAAGCGUAGUCGAUGGAUAUUAGGUUAAUAUUCCUAAUCUGAUGCCUGUUGAUAAAUGAGGGACAAAGCAGGCUACAUUAGCCGGAUAUUGGUUACCGGUUCAAGCUUUCAAGGCUAUGAGAGAUAGCGAAACUAUCUUGAGCGGAGAAGCGAGUACACGAUCCUUUGAGAUCAAAGUAAUGGAUGUCAUACUUUCAAGAAAAGCUCAACUUAUCACCAACGUAUAAUUUUAAUAGAUUUUAGUAUUAGAAUUAAUAUUUAAAACUAAAACACUAAAAAGUUAUAUUAAACAGUCAUUACCUGUACCUGAAACCGACACAGGUAGGGAGGUAGAGAAUACCAAGGAGCGCGAGAGAACCCUCCUUAAGGAACUCGGCAAAAUGACUCCGUAACUUCGGGAGAAGGAGUGCCCCAAAUGGCAGUUGUCAGGUAAAAGUGACAACAAGAAUGGCAAGGCUGCAAUAUCAAGUUCCAAGCAACUGUUUAGCAAAAACACAGGUCUCCGCUAAGUCGUAAGACGACGUAUGGGGGCUGACGCCUGCCCAGUGCCGGAAGGUAAAAGAAGUUGGUGAUCCUUUUUCAGUAAUGAGGAAGAUAGCUAAUGACUGAAGCCCCGGUGAACGGCGGCCGUAACUAUAACGGUCCUAAGGUAGCGAAAUUCCUUGUCAGGUAAGUUCUGACCCGCACGAAUGGCGUAAUGAUUUGGAAGCUGUCUCAAGGAGGGACUCGGCGAAAUAGAAAUGUCUGUGAAGAUGCGGACUUCCAGCGCCAGGACAGUAAGACCCUAUGAAGCUUUACUGUAUUCUGAAAUUGGAUCUUGAUUUAAUUUGCGCAGAAUAGGUGGGAGACGUUGAAUCUUUUCUUGUGGGAAAGGAGGAGUCGCACGUGAGAUACCACUCUUUUUAAAUUGAUAUCCUAACUUCAUACCGUUAGCCGGUUGAAAGACAGUUUCAGAUGGGCAGUUUGACUGGGGCGGUCGCCUCCUAAAAGGUAACGGAGGCGUACAAAGGUUUCCUCAGAUCAGUCAGAAAUUGAUCAUAGAGUGCAAAGGCAAAAGGAAGCUUAACUGUGAGACAAACGAGUCGAGCAGAGACGAAAGUCGGUCUUAGUGAUCUGACGCUACUGUGUGGAAAGGGCGUCACUCAACGGAUAAAAGUUACUCUAGGGAUAACAGGCUGAUCUCCUCAUAGAGUUCCUAUCGACGAGGAGGUUUGGCACCUCAAACAGGGGGCAAUCAUAUGGUAACAGUGAUUGGCAUUUUGGCUAUAUGCUGGAAACUCCGUCCGUUAAAAACGGUGAAGUAUUCUGAAAUACUUUUUUUUACAACAAAACAAAAAACUAAGUGACAAUUUUCAGAUGCGGACAAUCAGCAGGAAAGACUUACGGUUUUAAAAAAGUAUCCUCAACGACUACAUGCCAAACAGCCAGAAAUAAAAUUACGGUUGAUGAUAUAGUCUGAACUUUUAGGCGACUAAAAGUAUAUAAAUCGGCGAAUUAUUAAAAGUAAAUCUGCCGAUUAACAUCAUUGCGAUGUCGGCUCAUCGCAUCCUGGGGCGGUAGUACGUCCCAAGGGUUAGGCUGUUCGCCUAUGAAAGCGGUACGUGAGCUGGGUUCAGAACGUCGUAAGACAGUUCGGUCCAUAUCCGGCGUUGGCGAAAGAGUAUUGAGAGUGACCUUUCUCUAGUACGAGAGGACCGAGAAAGACAUACCGCUAGUGUACCAGUUAUCACGCCAGUGGUAAACGCUGGGUAGCUACGUAUGGUUUGGAUAACCGCUGAAAGCAUCUAAGUGGGAAGCCGUCCUCAAGAUGAGUGCUCUAAGGUUGCAGCAAGACGAGCUGCUUAAUAGGGAUCCAGUUGAAGCAAAGCAAUUUGUGAAGCUUAGAUCUACUAAUAACCAAU
rnacentral:rRNA from 1 species